AAACCUAAAGCAAGGCACUGAAAAUGCCUAGAUGAGUAUAUCAACUCCAUAAACA
rnacentral:tRNA from 1 species